GAGUUUGAUCAUGGCUCAGAUUGAACGCUGGCGGCGUGCUUAACACAUGCAAGUCGAGCGGCAGCGCGGGGGCAACCCUGGCGGCGAGCGGCGAACGGGUGAGUAAUGCUUCGGAAUCUUCCUCGUAGUGGGGAACAACCUGGGGAAACUCAGGCUAAUACCGCAUACGAACUACGGUUGAAAGCAGGGGAUCGCAAGACCUUGCGCUAUGAGAUGAGCCGAAGUCGGAUUAGCUAGUUGGUGGGGUAACGGCCUACCAAGGCGACGAUCCGUAGCUGGUCUGAGAGGACGACCAGCCACACUGGGACUGAGACACGGCCCAGACUCCUACGGGAGGCAGCAGUGGGGAAUAUUGGACAAUGGGCGAAAGCCUGAUCCAGCGACGCCGCGUGUGUGAAGAAGGCCUGCGGGUUGUAAAGCACUUUUAGUGGGGAUGAAAAGCCAAGGGCUAAUACCCUUUGGUCUUGACCUAACCCAAGGAAAAAGCAACCGGCUAACUCUGUGCCAGCAGCCGCGGUAAC
rnacentral:rRNA from 1 species